CAGAAAAUAGUUUAUUAAAAUAAUAAUUUUGGAGAUUAUUGAUAGGAAAUUUUCCUUUUUCUGA
rnacentral:tRNA from 1 species